AGAGUUUGAUCCUGGCUCAGGACGAACGCUGGUGGCGUGCUUAACACAUGCAAGUCGAACGGUGAAGCCCAGCUUGCUGGGUGGAUCAGUGGCGAACGGGUGAGUAACACGUGAGCAACCUGCCCUCCACUUCGGGAUAAGCCUUGGAAACGAGGUCUAAUACCGGAUACGAGCACCUGCCGCAUGGUGGGUGUUGGAAAGUUUUUCGGUGGGGGAUGGGCUCGCGGCCUAUCAGCUUGUUGGUGGGGUAAUGGCCUACCAAGGCGUCGACGGGUAGCCGGCCUGAGAGGGCGACCGGCCACACUGGGACUGAGACACGGCCCAGACUCCUACGGGAGGCAGCAGUGGGGAAUAUUGCACAAUGGGCGAAAGCCUGAUGCAGCGACGCCACGUGAGGGAUGACGGCCUUCGGGUUGUAAACCUCUUUCAGCAGGGAAGAAGCGCAAGUGACGGUACCUGCAGAAGAAGCGCCGGCUAACUACGUGCCAGCAGCCGCGGUAAUACGUAGGGCGCAAGCGUUGUCCGGAAUUAUUGGGCGUAAAGAGCUCGUAGGCGGUCUGUCGCGUCUGGUGUGAAAUCUCAUGGCUCAACUGUGAGCUUGCAUCGGGUACGGGCAGACUAGAGUGCUGUAGGGGAGACUGGAAUUCCUGGUGUAGCGGUGGAAUGCGCAGAUAUCAGGAGGAACACCGAUGGCGAAGGCAGGUCUCUGGGCAGUUACUGACGCUGAGGAGCGAAAGCAUGGGGAGCGAACAGGAUUAGAUACCCUGGUAGUCCAUGCCGUAAACGUUGGGCACUAGGUGUGGGGCCAGUUCCACUGGUUCUGUGCCGUAGCUAACGCAUUAAGUGCCCCGCCUGGGGAGUACGGCCGCAAGGCUAAAACUCAAAGGAAUUGACGGGGGCCCGCACAAGCGGCGGAGCAUGCGGAUUAAUUCGAUGCAACGCGAAGAACCUUACCAAGGCUUGACAUGUACGAGAAAGCCCCAGAGAUGGGGUUCUCUUUGGACACUCGUACACAGGUGGUGCAUGGUUGUCGUCAGCUCGUGUCGUGAGAUGUUGGGUUAAGUCCCGCAACGAGCGCAACCCUUGUCUCAUGUUGCCAGCGGGUUAUGCCGGGGACUCAUGGGAGACUGCCGGGGUCAACUCGGAGGAAGGUGGGGAUGACGUCAAAUCAUCAUGCCCCUUAUGUCUUGGGCUUCACGCAUGCUACAAUGGCCGGUACAGAGGGCUGCGAUACCGUGAGGUGGAGCGAAUCCCAAAAAGCCGGUCUCAGUUCGGAUCGGGGUCUGCAACUCGACCCCGUGAAGUCGGAGUCGCUAGUAAUCGCAGAUCAGCAACGCUGCGGUGAAUACGUUCCCGGGCCUUGUACACACCGCCCGUCAAGUCACGAAAGUUGGUAACACCCGAAGCUCACGGCCCAACCCCUUGUGGGAGGGAGUGGUCGAAGGUGGGACUGGCGAUUGGGACUAAGUCGUAACAAGGUAGCCGUACCGGAAGGUGCGGCUG
rnacentral:rRNA from 1 species